rnacentral:rRNA from 1 species
CUGCCAGUAGUCAUAUGCUUGUCUCAAAGAUUAAGCCAUGCAUGUCUCAGUACAAGCCAUAUUAAGGUGAAACCGCGAAAGGCUCAUUAAAUCAGUUAUGGUUCCUUAGAUCGUACCCACAUUUACUUGGAUAACUGUGGUAAUUCUAGAGCUAAUACAUGCAAACAGAGCUCCGACCGGAGGCGGAAGGAGUGCUUUUAUUAGAUCAAAACCAAUCGGCGGCAAUUGGGUUUACUUAAUUGUUCGUCGCACUUUUUGGUGACUCUGAAUAACUUUUGGCUGAUCGCACGGUCUCGCACCGGCGACGCAUCUUUCAAAUGUCUGCCUUAUCAACUGUCGAUGGUAGGUUCUGCGCCUACCAUGGUUGUAACGGGUAACGGGGAAUUAGGGUUCGAUUCCGGAGAGGGAGCCUGAGAAACGGCUACCACAUCCAAGGAAGGCAGCAGGCGCGCAAAUUACCCACUCCCGGCACGGGGAGGUAGUGACGAAAAAUAACGAUACGGGACUCAUCCGAGGCCCCGUAAUCGGAAUGAGUACACUUUAAAUCCUUUAACAAGGACCAAUUGGAGGGUAAGUCUGGUGCCAGCAGCCGCGGUAAUUCCAGCUCCAAUAGCGUAUA